UGGAGUGCUACCUCUUAUAGGCUUUCUUUGAACAGAUCUAGCGGGGGGGGGGGGGAAAGGGAGUCGGGGCCAGAUCCCUAAAGGUAUUUAGGAGCCUGAACUUGGUCAACUGGAGAAACUUGGUCUGAAUUCCAUGGAUUUAAAAAUCAGUUUGUACCCAGGCAGCGAUUUUUCUAAUCAUGAGACCAGGAAUGAGCUCACAGAGGGCUGUACUGGAUGUGGAUGAGUGUGGACGUUUAAAUGAGACUGAAAGCCUCCCAGUGGAAUUCUUGAGGAUGAUGAGAAUUGUCUGAGCCCUGCCUCGUUAACUAAGGGUUAAUUUACCUCUGACUCUUAUGGGGAUGUACAGGGAAGAGGAAGGUUUUGAGUAAGUUGACUCAUAUUAAUAGUCUCAUUGAUUCAACUCGGUUUAUUCAGGAGAGAUGGUUGUUUUCAAAAUUGACUCCUCAGGUAGUCUCAUAAUCUUCCACUAGCUCAGUUAUAUUGAAACAAGAAAAUUCAAUGAGAGUAAUUCAUUUGCUGUGCACUUAUUUUCAUACACAUUUAUAUCCCAUUAAAUGGCCUUUGUGAUAAAAUCCAUAGAGUUCUCCGGUUUUAAUUUUACCGUUUUAGUUUAUAUGGAAACAUGCAGUUCUAGGAUGGAAACACUGUAAUGACUGCUAUAAAUAUACAAUAUUCCUGAUCAAGUAAUCUUGCCUCUGAAGAAUCAACAUCAGCCCUCUUCUUGGCAUCUGGGGAGAGCUCCUUUACAGAAGUUGUAGUUCCACUGCAAAAGGAAAGGAGCACAUUCUGAAAAAGGUAGACUUGAGAAACCUCAGCUGCUAAUGCUCAGGUCCAUGUUCCAGAUCUUGAUCCAGCCGUUUGAAAAUUCUGGGUUUUUUGGGGGGAACACAGUGGGAUAACUUUGCAUUGAGGACUGGGUCAUAACUUUUUAAAAUAUACAUUAUAUAAUUUCCGGUACAAUGAUCAAGAGACUAGAAGGAAAACAGUCACCCAAUUCAAGUAUAAAAUCUUAUUAUGACUUGAUUGAAUUCUGUACCUAAGUCUGAGAACUACUAAAAAUAAAGUGAACACUUUGCUCAUACAGAGCUUAUUCUUUUAAAGUGCUAAGUGACCCUGGAAGUGCUGAGGUCUCACCUCUCAUUAGUGCCUACAGAUAAUGAUGAGAGCACCCACUACCUUUUGGAAAUAGCUCAGUAUCUUGCAGGAUAGAGCACCUUUCCUUUGGAUAUUUGAAAGCGCUUUAAUCAAUCUUCAAUGCAGG